UGACAUUAGAGCUUUAGUAAGUUUGAACCAUUAAGCAUAUAUCUUUGUACUUUACUUAUUUCCAAUUUCUUAGACUAAUCUUUUCAUGUCUUUGAUAUUGAAAUUCCAUCCAUGACAACAACAAAACCUUCACCAUUACAACCUUUGCAACAUGCCCUUGGCCGUCCCCAGAAAUUGAAAUCAGAUGGUGAGACUCCUCCUUUCUCCACUCUGUACUUAUGCCUCAUGAACAUUCUUUCUUGGUUCAAUGUUUCUUUUUUUUUUCCUCUGUGGGAUUUACUAUUAAAGUAGUUCACUAAUUAAGUUAGUUCCUAUAUAAAUGAUAAAAGUGCAUGAGAUGAACUUAUAAUAAAGAGAAACAUGAUCAGUAAAGGCUUAUAUAGAUGAUCCUAACUUGUUUCGAAAUUAACCCAUAGAAUGUGGAAGAGGGCAAGACAAAGAUCACCCUCGGAGGAAACAUAAACCAUUAUUUAUUUUUUUAGCUUGAGCUAUCUUCAACAAACUGAGAUUGUUAGUUGUUUAUCAUGUCUACACUAUGUAUAGAACUUGACAUUUUAUGAAUUGGAAUUUAGUAUUUUGGGUUGCGUAGCACAAUAUCAUCGGUUAAACAUCAAAAAGCCAAAGUCUUCACAAGAUUCUAGUAAUUUCUUGGCAUUUGUGUUCUAUUAAAUUACUAUCAUGUGUUUCUGCAUUAAAAAGUUUAUAAACUACAUUUUCUUAGUAAAUUCUUGAAUAGGCUAUGUUAACAACUAUGUUGCUCUGAUCCUCAAAACGUUAUUUACUUCAGUGAAUCUGAUUCAUAACUGUUCCAUUAUUUUUUUAAUACCUUAAACUGAAUCUUUGAUGUUUUUAAUGUGACAGUUCCCAAAAAAGCUCCAAUAGUUCCUCCGCCUCCAAUUCGUGUGUGAGUUAAGAUGAGCAAAAAUGAUCCAAUGCUAGUUCCCCGCCUCCUGUUCCUAUGUAAAUUUCGAUGAGCAAAAAUGCUCCAAAUCUAGUUCCCUCACCUCCGACUUCUGUGCGAGUUUUGGCGAGAAAAAAUGCUCCAAAGCUAGUUUCCUGACCUCCUGUUCCACCAUUGGGGUCGAUCAUUGCUAGACCUAGGCUAAUUCCUGGUUAUGGAGAGGACGAAUAGAGAGAGACAAAGUUAAAGUUAGCUCCUUUAUCAAGACUGAUAGUAUAAAACAAAGCACAUACUAGCACAAGUGGAUCUUCUUCCCAAAUGGAUGAAAAAUUGAAG
rnacentral:lncRNA from 1 species